rnacentral:ncRNA from 1 species
UCAAUUCGCAUUCUAUUCCGUACAGUGAUAUCUUUCCUUCUUUUUGGGUCACCAACCCGUAACUGUUUGGAGUUUAAAUUGGGAGUACCCUAUGGGUACGAGGCUUGACCGGAGGCUUGUUUCCGGUACCACGGGUAAUCAGGAGCCCGCGGAACCUUGUUUCCGUCCUGGUUUUUGGUUGCGGCCCUUCGGGGAGUUUCGUGGUGGCUGUGGUUUGACACCCAAAUGCGGGUAGAGCAAUUCACUCGGCGUGUUGUUGCGCUAUACAACAGGGUGCCGUGACCCAUAGAUCGGAAGUCGUUUUAGGUAGGCGGCCCUCCAAACCAAGGUGGAAGUCCACGACCAAACAGUAGUGACUUCAAAUUGGUACCUGCGGAAUAUUAGUUCCAAUGGGGCGGUAAUUGACGCUUAAAUUAAUUCCUGUGCUUAGCACCGUGAGAUUAAGCCAUCCCGGCAGGUGCUCACGUUAAACCAAUUGACUUUAAUUGUCCCUAUCUACUAUCUAGCGAAACCACAGCCAAGGGAACGGGCUUGGAAUAAUUAGCGGGGAAAGAAGACCCUUUUGAGCUUGACUCUAAUCUGGCAGUGUAAGGAGACAUAAGAGGUGUAGAAUAAGUGGGAGAUAUUAGACUUCGGUUUGGUAUCGACAAUGAAAUACCACUACUCUUAUUGUUUCCUUACUUACUUGAUUAAAUGGAACGUGUAUCAUUUCAUAGCCAUUAUACGGAUGUAUUUAUUAUAUCUUAUGGUAUUGGGUUUUGAUGCAAGCUUCUUGAUCAAAGUAUCACGAGUUUGUUAUAUAAUCGCAAACAAAUUCUUUAAUAAGAAAAUGCAUUUAUGUAUUUUUGAUUUAAAAAUUUGGGUAUAACUCCAAUUACUCAGAUAUGAUCCAAUUCAAGGACAUUGCCAGGGUAGGGAGUUUGACUGGGGCGGUACAUCUCUCAAAUAAUAACGGAGGUGUCCCAAGGCCAGCUCAGUGCGGACAGAAACCACACAUAGAGCAAAAGGGCAAAUGCUGACUUGAUCUCGGUGUUCAGUACACACAGGGACAGCAAAAGCUCGGCCUAUCGAUCCUUUUGGUUUAAAGGAGUUUUUAACCAGGAGGUGUCAGAAAAGUUACCAUAAGGGAUUAACUGGCUUGGUGGCGGUCAAGCGUUUCAUAGCGACGUUCCCUUUUUUGAUCCUUCNNNNNNNNNNNNNNNNNNNNNNNNNNNNNNNNNNNNNNN